AGGCAGCAUGCUGUACCUGCUCCAUAGGAAGCCAUGAAUAAGGUAUACUGUGGAUGACUCGCUGGUCCCAAUGGCAAAGCCUGCUUUAUGGAGUCCAUGCAAGAUGAUUAGUGCGUAGAGCUGACAAUUGGUUCAUCUCAAAGGUCGUUCAUCUGAGCAAUAUGAUCCGUUGUGACAUCCCUGAUGGUAAAAUGAGAAGAUUCCUGGAAAUUCGAGCCCCUUUAGUCUAUUAAGACCAUGCACU